GUCAAAACAACAACAUUCAUCCGGGAGGGACAGAAAAGGCCCAAGCAUCCUCCUACGAAGCCAGAAAUUGGACACCGAGUUAUGGCCCGGGACUGGAAGAUGCUUGUCGAUAUUGACCAGCAACUAAUUUUUCCACCUGAGAUUGCUUCUACCAACCUUAGGCCAGACAUGGUACUCUGGUCCCCUUCACGAAAGUCUGUGUACAUCACAGAGCUCACAGUCCCGUGGGAAACCUCUGUUGAAGAGGCCUACGAGCGUAAGAAACUGCGUUACAAAGAGUUGGCAGCAGACGCAACUCAGCGUGGCUGGAAUGCAAAAGUCUGGCCAGUUGAAGUGGGAUGCAGAGGAUUCGUGGCUUCUUCCACCAUCAGGUUGCUGAAAGAACUUGGAAUCCAUGGACAGGCUCUGCGGCAGACCGUCAGAGCAGUUUCUCAAGCAGCUGAAAGAGGCAGCCAGUGGAUCUGGAUCAAACGGAAGGACCCUUGCUGGGCAAUAACUUCAUGACCCCCCACCCCCACCUGAGCACCCAAUUCAGAUCCCUCCAACUUGAGGAGGGCAUAUGAGGUAUGGGGUCAGCUGUAGGGCUGGCUCAGGGAAGAGGACGCCCCUGCCUUGCAUAGUCCCGUGGGAAAUCUUAAUUGGGCAUGGGACACAAGCUAAGGCUUGAUCACCCUUUAGCUGGCCACCUUUGAUGAGGGUGUUUAGUGAUUAAAGGCCGAAACACCCACUGAUUCGAAGGCACACUACUGAGGAUGUGUCCCAAAAUGGACAUUUUAACCCAGUCUAAGAAAUAAACCUCCCAUGCCACUCUGUCAACAUCACAGCAAAUCUCAUUGACCAAUUUUGACUGCCAACACAACAACUGAAAGCAAAACAAGCAUUUUGGAAGUUCUGAUAAACAUGAUCAUUUCUUCUCAGACCAAGCACGACCGCAAUGUGGCUGAUAACAGGGUAAAGCGCUGGGCCCAGUUGCUGGAAUGCCAAACAAAGACCUGAGCCCUAGGACCAUGCCCCAGGAUUACCUGACAUGAUGACUCCUUGCUGUCCCCAGUCCACCUGGCCGUGCUGCUUCUCCAGUUUCAACUGUUCUGCCUUCUUAUUAUUCAAACAUGCUGAUCAUUUAUGAACAUUUGAACAUCUUGGCCAUGUUCUGUUAUAAUCUC
ensembl:lncRNA